UAUAUAUUUAAUCAUGUAUUUACAUAACAAUACUUAAAAAAGAGGCUAAUUAUUGAUAUUGACGAUUAGAUAAAGAAUAAAUCAUUAUCAGAAACGACAUGAAAAUAUCAUUAUAGUACUUUCAUAUUAAAAUGUUUCUAGUUGCUUGUAUCGAUUAAAUGGUACAGAUAAUGCGUAAUAGCUUGGGAUUAUUAAAGAUAGGUUAUCAUUUGCGAAGAAGCUUAUCAAAUAACUACACGAUAGACUUUGAACUUGUGUAAACUGCAGAGUACAUAUUUUUAACAUAGCGAAUAUUUAUCACAUUAUUAAUAUCAGUAAGAGGAAGAUCAGCGAUUCGAACAAAGAGAAUUAUCAAAACAUUUUAUAUGUGUAUAUGUACAUAUAUUUCGUUGGAAAUAUUUAAAAACAUUAUAUUACAAUUAAGAAAUCAACUUUAUUGUCAUUACGAUAUUUAAAUGCAUAUUCAACCUACGUAUGUGUAUUUAUACAUAUAUGUAUAUAUAUAUAUUUCUUAUGAUAACAGUGCAAAGACUUUUAGCAAGCAGCAAAAUAUAGUUUUUUGCGUCAUUGACCCCUAUGAAUCAUAUAUACAUACAUAUGUAUAUUAUACCUUACGCAAUUACGUAGUUGCGAUAUAAAGAACAAAGUUUAGCAAAGUUUUUGCAAAUUGUUUUAGUUUUAAUUAUUAAAAGUAAAAAAUAACUUAAAUUCUACAAAAGCGCGAGUACAUCAAAACGUUUGAUUUUAUUUUGUUUCAAAAUUGUUAUCGAAAUCGUAUCAAUAACAAUUAUUGUAUAAAUUUCUAAAUUUCUAAUUCUAAUCUAAACAGACAUCAUAUACAAUAAUCACGUGGCCGAUAGCUAAUGUACUUAAGCAAACUAUAUACAUAUUAAUUUGCGGGUAUGCAAAUAUAUACACGUACGGAUUUAAACAUAAAUAUAUGCCUCUGCAAACUGUCUGGGACGUCAGCUGAUUCAUUAAAACAACGUUCACUUGGCAGUGUUUUAUCGCGAUAAGAUUUCUGUACAAAGAAAGUCGAGAUUCGUCAGAUUUUGUUACGUAUUUCAGACAAUGAAUUAGCGGUAAAGAAAAAAAAAUGUGAAUAAUAUUUGUAUAUGUAUUGCUUUUCCAGGAAGUCCAUUUAAUUAUAUUAGUGUACCCAGAUACAUAUGUAUAUAGUCGUUAUUUAUCGUGACGUUAUUUGAGUCAGACAGAGCUGACGUAGGCUUCGAUAGCAGAACAGCUGGAAAACGGGAUAAUUUUUAAGGAUAUGACGCAUAUAACCAAUCGUAUCAAAAAUUAAUUUUCCCAUAACAAAUGAACUGUAUAUAUCGUUGGUAAUAUUAAAAUUCUGUAUAAAAAACAAAAAAUAAAUGUUACAUACGUUAUAUAUGUAUGUAUAAUAUGUAUAAUACAUUUGAUGAAUUACAUGAAAACGCACUUAUCUGAUACGUGAAGUACAACCGGAUGUAAUACGAGAAAGGAUGUAAUAUCAUAUUGUAUUUAAUGUAAGACGAGGAAAAGAAACUUUCUUAGUCUAUUUAUAAAAAAUCAUGGUAUCACGCAAUUGCGUCUUUUAAACAUUACAUGAGUAGCGGUCACGUGGUGAACUAUCAAUGGUUUAGCGGGGGGUGGAGGGAUGGGUUCCGAAGGUAUAUAAGUUUCCGCUCACAUUCCACCACUUAGUUCUGAUUGGGCUUCGGACGUGUGAACUGUGCCAAGCUUCGGAGCAGGGAAAGUUUUUGUUUGUUGGUGCGCUCAUUGUAUGGAGCGAGAGAAGAGUAUAAAACACGGAGAGAGCCCUGUGGAGCCAAUAAGCAGCUGCAGGGAUGAGCAUGGCUUCGUGCCAACAGUUGGCCGCUGGGGAAGCGAAUG